AUUGAACGCUGGCGGCAUGCUUUACACAUGCAAGUCGGACGGCAGCACAGAGAAGCUUGCUUCUUGGGUGGCGAGUGGCGAACGGGUGAGUAAUAUAUCGGAACGUACCGAGUAAUGGGGGAUAACUAAUCGAAAGAUUAGCUAAUACCGCAUAUUCUCUGAGGAGGAAAGCAGGGGACCUUCGGGCCUUGCGUUAUUCGAGCGGCCGAUAUCUGAUUAGCUAGUUGGUGGGGUAAAGGCCUACCAAGGCGACGAUCAGUAGCGGGUCUGAGAGGAUGAUCCGCCACACUGGGACUGAGACACGGCCCAGACUCCUACGGGAGGCAGCAGUGGGGAAUUUUGGACAAUGGGCGAAAGCCUGAUCCAGCCAUGCCGCGUGUCUGAAGAAGGCCUUCGGGUUGUAAAGGACUUUUGUCAGGGAAGAAAAGGCUGUUGCUAAUAUCGACAGCUGAUGACGGUACCUGAAGAAUAAGCACCGGCUAACUACGUG
rnacentral:rRNA from 1 species